GACAGAGGGGGCAAGCGUUGCUCGGAAUUACUGGGCGUAAAGGGCGCGUAGGCGGAAUGGCAAGUCGGUCGUGAAAUCCUUCGGCUCAACCGAAGAACGUCGAUCGAAACUGCCGUUCUUGAGGAUUGCAGAGGAGACUGGAAUUCCCGGUGUAGCGGUGAAAUGCGUAGAUAUCGAGAGGAACACCUGCGGCGAAGGCGGGUUGCUGGGCCGACACUGACGCUGAGGCGCGAAAGCCAGGGGAGCGAACGGG
rnacentral:rRNA from 1 species